UACAGAGGCCACAAGCGUUAGACGGAAUCACUGGGCUUAAAGCGUGUGUAGGCGGGAUGGUAAGUACCUUGUGAAAUCCCACAGCUUAACUGUGGAAAUGCUUGGUAUACUGCCGUUCUUGAUGUCACCUAGGGGCAGCUGGAACGAGAUGGUGGAGCGGUGAAAUGCAUAGAUAUCAUCUGGAACGCCAAUGGUGCAGACAAGCUGCUGGGGGUGUAGCUGACGCUGAGGCACGAAAGCCAGGGGAGCAAACGGG
rnacentral:rRNA from 1 species